UACAGAGGUCCCAAGCGUUGUUCGGAUUCACUGGGCGUAAAGGGUGCGUAGGUGGUGUGGCAAGUUUGAUGUGAAAUCUCCGGGCUUAACCCGGAAAUGGCAUUGAAUACUGCCAGGCUGGAGGGUUGGAGGGGGGACUGGAAUUCUCGGUGUAGCAGUGAAAUGCGUAGAUAUCGAGAGGAACACCAGUGGCGAAGGCGAGUCCCUGGACAGUUACUGACGCUGAGGCACGAAGGCCAGGGGAGCAAACGGG
rnacentral:rRNA from 1 species